GACGAACGCUGGCGGCGUGCUUAACACAUGCAAGUCGAACGGUAAGGCCCUUCGGGGUACACGAGUGGCGAACGGGUGAGUAACACGUGGGUGAUCUGCCCUGCACUUCGGGAUAAGCCUGGGAAACUGGGUCUAAUACCGGAUAGGACCACUGCCUGCAUGGGUGGUGGUGGAAAGCUUUUGCGGUGUGGGAUGGGCCCGCGGCCUAUCAGCUUGUUGGUGGGGUGAUGGCCUACCAAGGCGACGACGGGUAGCCGGCCUGAGAGGGUGACCGGCCACACUGGGACGGAGAUACGGCCCAGACUCCGACGGGAGGCAGCAGUGGGGAAUAUUGCACAAUGGGCGCAAGCCUGAUGCAGCGACGCCGCGUGAGGGAUGACGGCCUUCGGGUUGUAAACCUCUUUCAGCACCGACGAAGCGCAAGUGACGGUAGGUGCAGAAGAAGGACCGGCCAACUACGUGCCAGCAGCCGCAGUAA
rnacentral:rRNA from 1 species